GACGAACGCUGGCGGCGUGCCUAAUACAUGCAAGUUGAGCGCUGAAGGUUGGUACUUGUACCAACUGGAUGAGCAGCGAACGGGUGAGUAACGCGUGGGGAAUCUGCCUUUGAGCGGGGGACAACAUUUGGAAACGAAUGCUAAUACCGCAUAAAAACUUUAAACACAAGUUUUUAGUUUGAAAGAUGCAAUUGCAUCACUCAAAGAUGAUCCCGCGUUGUAUUAGCUAGUUGGUGAGGUAAAGGCUCACCAAGGCGAUGAUACAUAGCCGACCUGAGAGGGUGAUCGGCCACAUUGGGACUGAGACACGGCCCAAACUCCUACGGGAGGCAGCAGUAGGGAAUCUUCGGCAAUGGACGAAAGUCUGACCGAGCAACGCCGCGUGAGUGAAGAAGGUUUUCGGAUCGUAAAACUCUGUUGGUAGAGAAGAACGUUGGUGAGAGUGGAAAGCUCAUCAAGUGACGGUAACUACCCAGAAAGGGACGGCUAACUACGUG
rnacentral:rRNA from 1 species